CUAUGUUGUAUUAGAUUGAUUAUUAUCAACAACUAAAACAAACCCUACCCUCCUCUCAAGAACACGCACGGCAACAGGAGACCCCCCCCCCCCUGUUCGCAGCUUAUUGGUUUGUACGCCCUCAUCACUUCUUGGGUGUGGGUGUCCAAUGAUAAACAAGUAAAUUAAUCUUACCGAGCAAAACUAAGGUCGUUAGAUAUCUUGGAUUUGGGAACUUGCUGCCUGGAGU